rnacentral:rRNA from 1 species
AGCAGCCGCCGCGGGAAUACGUAGGGGGCGUGCGUUGUCCGAAGUUACUGGGCGUAAAGCGCGCGUAGGCGGCUUCUUAAGUCUGAGGCGAAAGGUUCAACGCUUAACGUGAACAGUGCCUUGGAUACUGUUUGUCUUGAGUUCGAGAGAGGUAAGCGGAACUGCGAGUGUAGAGGUGAAAUUCGUAGAUAUUCGCAAGAACACCAGUGGCGAAGGCGGCUUACUGGCUCGAAACUGACGCUGAGGCGCGAAAGCGUGGGGAGCAGACAGGAUUAGAUACCCGAGUAGUCCCUGUCUCUUAUA